rnacentral:misc_RNA from 1 species
UUUACUAUUAGAUAGUACUCAGACACCACUAAAUUUCAGAGUUUGGUCCUCUGGCGGGCACUUGUGAGCGAAGCCCACAGUGGAGGCCACGGCCCGCCAAAGCAACAAAAGUAUAUAGACACGGAUGGGGAUAGCGCCCGAGGGGCUUCUAUCAGGUAAUGAUCCUUCCGCAGGUUCACCUACGGAAA